AUCAAGUUUAAAACUCUGUUACAGAAUACCAAGUAAUUCAAUCCAUUUUACAGAGAAGACUUAGAAAAUCUGGAUAAUAAAAUGGAAGAAUUGGAAAAAAGCAAUAAAAGCUAUGCAAUGAUUGUCACGGAGAAUGGUGUUGGUUUUCAUUAUGUACAAGCCAAAAAUACAAAAACCAAAGACAUGAACAUAUGCUACUCUUCAGCUGAUGUCACGUUUGUUGAGAGUCAAAGUGACCUGUCACUUAUUAACUGUUCCUGGUCAAUAAAAAUUUCCAAGGAGGCUUUUGAUAAAUCACGUCUUGAAAACAAUGGAACUGCAUUUGUUGGAGUUCUACGGUUCCAAAACUUGAGAAAUAUGAAUCAAACUGAAAAUUACACUGUUCUGAACAAUGAGGUUUACGGAAUAACGAUGAGGGCC
rnacentral:lncRNA from 1 species